rnacentral:rRNA from 1 species
AGUGGAAGCGUCUGGAAAGGCGUGCGAUACAGGGUGACAGCCCCGUACACAAAAAUGCACAUAUUGUGAGCUUGAUGAGUAGGGCGGGACACGUGGUAUCCUGUCUGAAUAUGGGGGGACCAUCCUCCAAGGCUAAAUACUCCUGACUGACCGAUAGUGAACCAGUACCGUGAGGGAAAGGCGAAAAGAACCCCGGCGAGGGGAGUGAAAAAGAACCUGAAACCGUGUACGUACAAGCAGUGGGAGCACGCUUAGGCGUGUGACUGCGUACCUUUUGUAUAAUGGGUCAGCGACUUAUAUUCUGUAGCAAGGUUAACCGAAUAGGGGAGCCGAAGGGAAACCGAGUCUUAACUGGGCGUUAAGUUGCAGGGUAUAGACCCGAAACCCGGUGAUCUAGCCAUGGGCAGGUUGAAGGUUGGGUAACACUAACUGGAGGACCGAACCGACUAAUGUUGAAAAAUUAGCGGAUGACUUGUGGCUGGGGGUGAAAGGCCAAUCAAACCGGGAGAUAGCUGGUUCUCCCCGAAAGCUAUUUAGGUAGCGCCUCGUGAAUUCAUCUCCGGGGGUAGAGCACUGUUUCGGCAAGGGGGUCAUCCCGACUUACCAACC